AUGCUCGUCGAGGAAAAAGUAGACCACGUCGGGGUUGGUGGGGUGGAUGAGCGCAAGCACGGGGAUCUUCCUGGGCAGACCAGUCGCCUUGUAGCUCGCGUCGUCCCAGAUCUCCUUAAAGGUGGCCUCAUACUCCAGCGUCCACUCCGUGGUGUCCGGAUCGGCGAGCGUCCAGACGCUGAUCUGUGCAGCGCCGCGGCUGUCACGAUUCCUGGAGUACAUGUCCACGAACCGCAGCUUGCCGCCGCUGACACGUACGCAUCGGUACUUGUCAAGCAAUCCCCAAGCUUCCCUGGGCUUGAGCGCCUUGCCCUCCGGGAGCGGGACGACCCUCAGCACCGGCGUGUCCUCGAAGGGGUCGCAGGUGAGGAGGCACCAGGAGAGGUCGACCCACCAGAGCCUCCCGGAGUGCGAGACCACGCGGUUGGGGCACAGAAUCCUGGCAGGAAGCGGGUAGCCGAUGUACUUGCUGACCCACUCUCCGACUUCCGACGAGAAGCGCAGGAGGAUGGCCUUGUCACCGCCAACGAACGGCUGGAGCUCGGCGACCAUGUAGUGGCCGCCACCCGCCGGGGAGGAGAUGAGGCCGACGUGACCCAUGUGCAUGAUGAGCUCAGGUUUCGGGAGCGGCAGGGCGGUGGCGGUGGUGGCGUCGAGGACGAAGUAGCCCGGGGCGAACGGGCGCCAGCUGAACUCCCGGAGGCUGGGGGUGUUGAUGACGGUGGGGGCCGUGGCGCGGCCCUGGUUGGCGUGGAGGAGGAGGAGGCCGGAGGGGUCGACGGCGAGGACGGAGGGGAAGUUGUCGGAGGUGGUGCGGUCCGCGAAGAUGCGCGGGGGGGUGGUGAGGAGCCCGACGCGCGGCGGCGCCGGCAGCGCGAGGGAGAGGUCGGCGCCCGGAGGGAGGUCGGCGUCGGCGGCCGCCACCCGCGGCACGCUGCCGAGGAUGGCCCACGACGGCGACGCGGAUGCCAUGUCGGCUCGCUCGAUCUGGUGGCUUGCGCGCGCGCGUGCUCUGGCGUUGGACUGGUGAACGGUGACCGCGGCGACGGGGACUAUGGGAGCGAAGAGGAUCAGGCAACGGGCGGCUCGGGGAAUGGACCGCGCGGAUGCCAUUUGGUGACGGUGAGCUGCGAUGGGGGUCAGGGUUUUGUGGGAGGGUUGGAAAGCGAGGCAAGCGGUGAACUGGAAUGA
rnacentral:rRNA from 1 species